rnacentral:misc_RNA from 1 species
UGGAGAAGUACCUCGGUGGUGCCGAGCUGAGCUAUGAGGAGAUCCAGCAUGCCAUCCGGAAGGCGACGGUCACGAGCGCGAUCGUGCCGGUGCUCUGUGGUGCGGCGUUCAAGAAUAAAGGAGUCCAGGCUCUUCUCGAUGCCGUGAUCGACUACCUGCCCAGCCCAACCGAUGUCCCCCCGAUCCAAGGCCACAUUCCUCUCCACGACGACACCCACGUCGAGCGGUGCGCGUCAGACGCGGAGCCGUUUUCGGCGCUCGCCUUCAAGAUCGCGACCGACCCGUACGUAGGCCGGUUGACCUUCUUCCGGGUGUACUCGGGGUUGCUCAAGUCCGGCAGCUACGUCUACAACAGCACCAAGGACAAGCGGGAGCGCAUUGGGCGGUUGCUCCAGAU